GGUCCCUAAUACGGAUUGCUAAUGACGGUACCUGAAGAAGAAGCACCGGCUAACUACGUGCCAGCAGCCGCGGUAAUACGUAGGGUGCGAGCGUUAAUCGGAAUUACUGGGCGUAAAGCGUGCGCAGGCGGUUAUGUAAGACAGAUGUGAAACUCCCCGGGCUUAACCUGGGAACUGCGUUUGUGACUGCAUAACUCGAGUGUGGCAGAGGGGGGUGGAAUUCCACGUGUAGCAGUGAAAUGCGUAGAGAUGUGGAGGAACACCGAUGGCGAAGGCAGCCCCCUGGGUCAACACUGACGCUCAUGCACGAAAGCGUGGGGAGCAAACAGGAUUAGAUACCCUGGUAGUCCACGCCCUAAACGAUGCGAACUAGGUGUUGGGGAAGGAGACUUUCUUAGUACCGCAGCUAACGCGUGAAGUUCGCCGCCUGGGGAGUACGGUCGCAAGAUUAAAACUCAAAGGAAUUGACGGGG
rnacentral:rRNA from 1 species